UAAUACCUGCAGCCCGAGUGGUGACCGAUAUUAUUGAGCCUAAAGCGUCCGUAGCCGGUCUGGUAAAUUCUUGGGUAAAUCGAGCAGCUCAACUGUUCGAAUUCCGAGGAGACUGCCAGACUUGGGACCGGGAGAGGUCAGAGGUACUCCAGGGGUAGGGGCUAAAUCCUGUAAUCCUUGGGGGACCACCAGUGGCGAAGGCGUCUGACUAGAACGGAUUCGACGGUAAGGGACGAAACCCUGGGGCGCAAACCGGAUUAGAUACCCGGGUAGUCCAGGGCGUAAACGCUGCAGGCUUGGUGUUGGGGACCCUACGAGGGUGCCCAGUGCCGGAGUGAAGAUGUUAAGCCUGCCGCUUGGGGAGUACGUCCGCAAGGAUG
rnacentral:rRNA from 1 species